rnacentral:rRNA from 1 species
AACGAACGCUGGCGGCAGGCUUAACACAUGCAAGUCGAACGGUUGUAGCAAUACAGCAGUGGCGCACGGGUGAGUAACACGUGGGAAUAUCCCUUUCAGUACGGAAUAACGUCGGGAAACUGACGCUAAUACCGUAUACACCUCCGGGUGAAAGAUUUAUCGCUGAAAGAUUAGCCCGCGUCAGAUUAGCUAGUUGGUGGGGUAACGGCCUACCAAGGCUCCGAUCUGUAGCUGGUCUUAGUGGACGAUCAGCCACACUGGAACUGAGACACGGUCCAGACUCCUACGGGAGGCAGCAGUGGGGAACAUUGGACAAUGGGGGAAACCCUGAUCCAGCCAUGCCGCGUGAGUGAUGAAGGCCUUCGGGUUGUAAAGCUCUUUUGUCAGGGAAGAUGAUGACUGUACCUGAAGAAUAAGCCCCGGCUAACUUCGUGCCAGCAGCCGCGGUAAAAC